CGGCGCAAGGGAGAGUAACGCGUGGAUAUCUGCCCUCGGCUCCAGAAUAGCUACGGGAAACUGUAGGUAAUGCUGGAUAAUAUCUCCGGAUUAAAGGUGUGAUUCCGGCCGAGGAUGAGUCCGCGUCCUAUUAGAUUGUUGGUGGGGUAAUGGCCUACCAAGUCGAAGAUGGGUACCGGGUGUGAGAGCAUGGCCCGGCUCACUGGGACUGAGACACUGCCCAGACGUCUACGGACGGCUGCAGUCGAGAAUCUUCCGCAAUGGGCGCAAGCCUGACGGAGCGACGCCGCGUGCGGGAUGAAGGCCUUCGGGUUGUAAACCGCUGUCAGUUGGGAGGAAAUACUAUGGGGUUCUCUCCAUAGUUUGACCGAUCUUCAGAGGAAGUACGGGCUAAGUACGUGCCAGCAGCCGCGGUAACACGUACCGUACGAACGUUAUUCGGAAUCACUGGGCUUAAAGAGUCCGUAGGCGGCUAUGUAGGUCAGGUGUGAAAUCCCACGGCUCAACCGUGGAACUGCGCUUGAAACCAUAUGGCUAGAGGGAGAUAGAGGAAAGCGGAACUGAUGGUGGAGCGGUGAAAUGCGUUGAUAUCAUCGGGAACACCGGUGGCGAAAGCGGCUUUCUGGGUCUCUUCUGACGCUGAGGGACGAAAGCUAGGGGAGCGAACGGGAUUAGAUACCCCGGUAGUCCUAGCUGUAAACGAUGAGCACUAGU
rnacentral:rRNA from 1 species